rnacentral:rRNA from 1 species
CCUACGGGGGGCAGCAGUGGGGAAUAUUGCACAAUGGGCGAAAGCCUGAUGCAGCAACGCCGCGUGAGCGAUGAAGGUCUUCGGGUCGUAAAGCUCUGUCCUAAGGGAAGAAUACUGACGGUACCUUAGGAGGAAGGCCCGGCUAACUACGUGCCAGCAGCCGCGGUAAUACGUAGGGGGCUAGCGUUAUCCGGAAUUACUGGGCGUAAAGGGUGCGUAGGCGGCGCUUCAAGUCAGAUGUGAAAGGUUACGGCUCAACCGUAGUAAGCCUUUGAAACUGUAGGGCUGGAGUGCAGGAGAGGAGGGUGGUAUUCCCAGUGUAGCGGUGAAAUGCGUAGAUAGUGGGGGGAAGACCAGUUGCGAAGGCGGCUCUCUGGACUGUAACUGACGCUGAGGUACGAAAGUGUGGAGAGCGAACAGGAUUAGAUACCCCAGUAGAC